rnacentral:rRNA from 1 species
GACGAACGCUGGCGGCGUGCCUAAUACAUGCAAGUUGAGCGAUGAAGAUUGGUGCUUGCACCAAUUUGAAGAGCAGCGAACGGGUGAGUAACGCGUGGGGAAUCUGCCUUUGAGCGGGGGACAACAUUUGGAAACGAAUGCUAAUACCGCAUAACAACUUUAAACAUAAGUUUUAAGUUUGAAAGAUGCAAUUGCAUCACUCAAAGAUGAUCCCGCGUUGUAUUAGCUAGUUGGUGAGGUAAAGGCUCACCAAGGCGAUGAUUCAUAGCCGACCUGAGAGGGUGAUCGGCCACAUUGGGACUGAGACACGGCCCAAACUCCUACGGGAGGCAGCAGUAGGGAAUCUUCGGCAAUGGACGAAAGUCUGACCGAGCAACGCCGCGUGAGUGAAGAAGGUUUUCGGAUCGUAAAACUCUGUUGGUAGAGAAGAACGUUGGUGAGAGUGGAAAGCUCAUCAAGUGACGGUAACUACCCAGAAAGGGACGGCUAACUACGG